rnacentral:rRNA from 1 species
CAUCGCCUCCUGCUUAUAAUAACAUAGGAGGUCCCGCCUGCCCUGUGACCAAAAGUUUAACGGCCGCGGUAUUUUAACCGUGCAAAGGUAGCGCAAUCAAUUGUCUUUUAAAUGGAGACCUGUAUGAAUGGCAUAACGAGGGUUUUACUGUCUCUUUUUUCUGGUCAAUGAAACUGAUCUGCCCGUGCAGAAGCGGGCAUAAUAACACAAGACGAGAAGACCCUAUGGAGCUUUAGACGCCCACCAACCGCGAAGAGCACCCCGACGAGGGGCCACCAAAUAACGCGACCGUGGUACAAACGUCUUCGGUUGGGGCGACCACGGGGGAAUACAAAGCCCCCGAGAGGAUUGGGGAUCCAACCCUAAAACCAAGAGCCACAGCUCUAAGUCACAAAACAUUUGACCCAGAAUGAUCCGGCUCAUUGCCGAUCAACGGACCAAGUUACCCUAGGGAUAACAGCGCAAUCCUCUCCCAGAGUCCAUAUCGACGAGAGGGUUUACGACCUCGAUGUUGGAUCAGGACAUCCUAAUGGUGCAGCCGCUAUUAAGGGUUCGUUUGUUCAACGAUUAAAGUCCUACGUGAUCU